rnacentral:misc_RNA from 1 species
GAUGAAGAACGCAGCGAAAUGCGAUAAGUAGUGUGAAUUGCAGAAUUCAGUGAAUCAUCGAAUCUUUGAACGCACAUUGCGCCCCUUGGUAUCCCGAGGGGCAUGCCUGUUCGAGCGUCAUUUCACCACUCAAGCCUGGCUUGGUGUUGGGCGACGUCCCCUUUAGGGACGCGCCUCGAAACGCUCGGCGGCGCGGCACCGGCUUUAAGCGUAGCAGAAUCUUUCGCUUUGGAAGUCGGGGCCACGCCUGCCGGAAUAACUACUUGUAAGGUUGACCUCGGAUCAGGCAGGGAUACCCGCUGAACUUAAGCAUAUCAAUAAGCGGAGGA